AAUAUGUGUUUACCUCCCCACCUAACGAGUCUCGGAAAAGUUCCAUUUUCAAACACACCUAUGUGGGUAUAAGCCGGUGGAAUUAAAUCGACGGUUGACUAAAACGGGUGUUGUAAAUCUGGAGUGUUCUUCAUUUGGUCGGGUAAUACUACGGUACAGUAUGAAGGUGCAAGCGAUUGGUAUAUUUUAUAUCAGUGCGCCACGGGUCGUCGGUAGAGGCGGGCGCUUUGCUCCUGAAUUUCCCGAUUUUCGUCGUGUGUGAACUUUUAGUGUUUGCGAAUUUUGUUUGUGAGAGUGUUCAUUUAUUCCUGAUAAUAAAAGGAUGUUGUUAGCAGAUUAAUAAAAAUACUGUAAAAACCUUCAUAGUACGCCAAAAGACAAUGUAGUGAGUUAUGUCAAAAUGACAGUUCACUAUUAAAAUCAAGAUGGCUGGUGAUUUCGGCGGGAAAAUGGCGUGGCGUGCGCUGCUGUUUGCAGUGCUGUUAGAUAAUGUAAUCUGUCAAGUGGGCUGGACAGAAACGAAUGAAGAUUUAGAAAAAAAGGGCAGCGCCACGUCUGAUGGUGAGUAAAAACGCAUUUGUUAUGUACUACUUAAGGUCUAGUUUUGUAGUUGCAAUUCCACUAAA